rnacentral:lncRNA from 1 species
GUUCAAUACAUUUGCAAAAAUGUCUGGCGUUAUGGAGUAUUGUGUGUACUGUAGGUUGGUGAGGAUUUAAAAAAAAAUCUCCUUACUUCUUAUUUAAUACAUUUUAAAUUCAGGUUGUAACACAUCUAAAUGUGGAAUAAGUGAAGGCGUAUGAAUAAUUUCUGAAGGGACUGUGUGUAGCUGUAAUUUUUUUGAGGGAAGUCAUUCCACACCUGCACACACACACUCAGGCUUUGACUCCCUGAUGUUCUCCCGAGUCCCACACACAGAUUGAGGAGGAUAAUAACGGAUUGCAGGACUUGGUGGACAAGUUGCAGCUGAAACUGAAGACCGGCAAGAAUCAGGCUGAGGAAGUGAUGAGUCACACUAGACAUGCAGUCAAAUACUCUGAGGCUGCAACUGAAAUGGAGGAAGCAGCCAACCAGGACGUUUCUAAGUUUAAGAAGGUGCAGCAUGAGAUGAGCUGGAGGAGGCAGAGGAGCACGUUUACAUCGCUGAGACCUAAGUCAACAAGCUCGGGGCCAAAGGUCGCAACGCCGGAGGAAAAGUACAGUCUAUAGGACCGGCACAUGUGAUGGUGUGAUGUAGAGUGAGCUGUCGAUAUAUAUCUUAUAAGAGGUGGACAAGAGGUGAGCCCCACACACCUUGGGCAGAGCCCCAUAGAGCCUCAGACUGUAACUGAACUGACAGUGAGUAUUUCUGCUUUGAAAUUACUUCAGGAGAUCUCCUGUGGGUGAUUCCUCUGCCUUUAAUGU